CCUACGGGAGGCAGCAGUGGGGAAUAUUGCACAAUGGGCGAAAGCCUGAUGCAGCAACGCCGCGUGAAGGAAGACGGCUCUCGGAUUGGAAACUUAUGUUCUUAGUGAAGUAUAAUGACGGAAACUAAGGAGCAAGCAACGGCUAACUACGUGCCAGCAGCCGAGGUAAUACGUAGGCGGCAAGCGUUGUCCGGAAUUACUGGGUGUAAAGGGAGCGUAGGCGGGAAACCAAGUCAGCUGUGAAAACUACGGGCUUAACCUGUAGACUGCAGUUGAAACUGGCGUUCUUGAGUGAAGUAGAGGUUGGCGGAAUUCGUAGUGUAGCGGUGAAAUGCGUAGAUAUGCGGAGGAACACCGGUGGCGAAGGCGGCCAGCUGGGCUUUAACUGACGCUGAGGCUCGAAAGUGUGGGGAGCAAACAGGAUUAGAUACCCCUGUAGUC
rnacentral:rRNA from 1 species